GACGAACGCUGGCGGCGUGCUUAACACAUGCAAGUCGAACGGAAAGACCCUGCUUUUGUGGGGUGCUCGAGUGGCGAACGGGUGAGUAACACGUGAGUAACCUGCCCUUGACUUUGGGAUAACUUCAGGAAACUGGGGCUAAUACCGGAUAGGAGCUCCUGCUGCAUGGUGGGGGUUGGAAAGUUUCGGCGGUUGGGGAUGGACUCGCGGCUUAUCAGCUUGUUGGUGGGGUGGUGGCUUACCAAGGCUUUGACGGGUAGCCGGCCUGAGAGGGUGACCGGACACAUUGGGACGGAGAUCCGCCCCGGCCCCAGCGGGGGGGAAGCAGGGGGAAAUUUGGCAAAAGGGGCGGAAGCUUGAUGCAGCACCGCCGCGGGGGGGAGGACGGCCUUGGGGUUGAACCCCGUUUUCGCCUGGGACGAAGCGGGAGUGAGGGUAAUGGGUAAAGAAGCACGGGCUAACUACGUC
rnacentral:rRNA from 1 species